rnacentral:rRNA from 1 species
AAUACCCAAUCCUGACACAGGGAGGUAGUGACAAGAAAUAACAAUACAGGGCUAAUGUCUUGUAAUUGGAAUGAUGGUGACCCAAACCCUCACCAGAGUAGCAAUUGGAGGGCAAGUCUGGUGCCAGCAGCCGCGGUAAUUCCAGCUCCAAUAGCGUAUAUUAAACUUGUUGCAGUUAAAAAGCUCGUAGUUGAAUUUUAGCGUGUUCGAGUUUGCCAUUCGUUUGGCUUUUUCGAGUUCGCU